rnacentral:rRNA from 1 species
GAUGAACGCUGGCGGCGUGCCUAAUACAUGCAAGUCGAGCGAACGGACGAGAAGCUUGCUUUUCUGAUGUUAGCGGCGGACGGGUGAGUAACACGUGGAUAACCUACCUAUAAGACUGGGAUAACUUCGGGAAACCGGAGCUAAUACCGGAUAAUAUUUUGAACCGCAUGGUUCAAAAGUGAAAGACGGUCUUGCUGUCACUUAUAGAUGGAUCCGCGCUGCAUUAGCUAGUUGGUAAGGUAACGGCUUACCAAGGCAACGAUGCAUAGCCGACCUGAGAGGGUGAUCGGCCACACUGGAACUGAGACACGGUCCAGACUCCUACGGGAGGCAGCAGUAGGGAAUCCUCCGCAAUGGGCGAAAGCCUGACGGAGCAACGCCGCGUGAGUGAUGAAGGUCUUCGGAUCGUAAAACUCUGUUAUUAGGGAAGAACAUAUGUGUAAGUAACUGUGCACAUCUUGACGGUACCUAAUCAGAAAGCCACGGCUAACUACGUGCCAGCAGCCGCGGUAAUACGUANGUGGCAAGCGUUAUCCGGAAUUUAUGGGCGUNAAGCGCGCGUAGGCGGUUUUUUAAGUCUGAUGUGAAAGCCCACGGCUCAACCGUGGAGGGUCAUUGGAAACUGGAAAACUUGAGUGCAGAAGAGGAAAGUGGAAUUCCAUGUGUAGCGGUGAAAUGCGCAGAGAUAUGGAGGAACACCAGUGGCGAAGGCGACUUUCUGGUCUGUAACUGACGCUGAUGUGCGAAAGCGUGGGGAUCAAACAGGAUUAGAUACCCUGGUAGUCCACGCCGUAAACGAUGAGUGCUAAGUGUUAGGGGGUUUCCGCCCCUUAGUGCUGCAGCUAACGCAUUAAGCACUCCGCCUGGGGAGUACGACCGCAAGGUUGAAACUCAAAGGAAUUGACGGGGACCCGCACAAGCGGUGGAGCAUGUGGUUUAAUUCGAAGCAACGCGAAGAACCUUACCAAAUCUUGACAUCCUUUGACAACUCUAGAGAUAGAGCCUUCCCCUUCGGGGGACAAAGUGACAGGUGGUGCAUGGUUGUCGUCAGCUCGUGUCGUGAGAUGUUGGGUUAAGUCCCGCAACGAGCGCAACCCUUAAGCUUAGUUGCCAUCAUUAAGUUGGGCACUCUAAGUUGACUGCCGGUGACAAACCGGAGGAAGGUGGGGAUGACGUCAAAUCAUCAUGCCCCUUAUGAUUUGGGCUACACACGUGCUACAAUGGACAAUACAAAGGGCAGCGAAACCGCGAGGUCAAGCAAAUCCCAUAAAGUUGUUCUCAGUUCGGAUUGUAGUCUGCAACUCGACUACAUGAAGCUGGAAUCGCUAGUAAUCGUAGAUCAGCAUGCUACGGUGAAUACGUUCCCGGGUCU